rnacentral:rRNA from 1 species
AUUGAACGCUGGCGGCAUGCCUUACACAUGCAAGUCGAACGGUAACGGGUCCUUCGGGAUGCCGACGAGUGGCGAACGGGUGAGUAAUAUAUCGGAACGUGCCCAGUAGUGGGGGAUAACUGCUCGAAAGAGCAGCUAAUACCGCAUACGACCUGAGGGUGAAAGGGGGGGAUCGCAAGACCCCUCCCUCUUGGAGCGGCCGAUACCAGAUUAGCUAGUUGGUGGGGUAAAGGCCUACCAAGGCAACGACCUGUAGUUGGUCUGAGAGGACGACCAGCCACACUGGGACUGAGACACGGCCCAGACUCCUACGGGAGGCAGCAGUGGGGAAUUUUGGACAAUGGGCGCAAGCCUGAUCCAGCAAUGCCGCGUGCAGGAAGAAGGCCUUCGGGUUGUAAACUGCUUUUGUCAGGGAAGAAAUCUUCUGGGCUAAUACCCCGGGAGGAUGACGGUACCCAAAGAAUAAGCACCGGCUAACUUCGUGCCAGCAGCCGCCGCCG